rnacentral:rRNA from 1 species
UACGUAGGGGGCAAGCGUUGUCCGGAUUUAUUGGGCGUAAAGAGCGUGUAGGCGGCCAUGUAGGUCCGUUGUGAAAACUCGAGGCUCAACCUCGAGACGCCGAUGGAAACCGUGUGGCUAGAGUCCGGAAGAGGAGAGUGGAAUUCCUGGUGUAGCGGUGAAAUGCGCAGAUAUCAGGAAGAACACCCGUGGCUAAGGCGGCUCUCUAGUACGGUACUGACGCUGAGACGCGAAAGCGUGGGGAGCGAACAGG